CAGGUAGUGACCAUCUCUGAAGUGGAAGGUGUGUGUGUCAGGGUGUGAAAGCCCAGGUAGUGACCAUCUCUGAAGUGGAAGGUGUGUGUGUCAGGGUGUGAAAGCCCAGGUAGUGACCAUCUCUGAAGUGGAAGGUGUGUGUGUCAGGGUGUGUGAGCGUCUCUGAAGUGAAAGGUGUGUGUGUCAGGGUGUGAAAGCCCAGGUAGUGACCGUCUCUGAAGUGAAAGGUGUGUGUGUCAGGGUGUGAAAGCCCAGGUAGUGAGCAUCUCUGAAGUGGAAGGUGUGUGUGUCAGGGUGUGUGAGCGUCUCUGAAGUGAAAGGUGUGUGUGUCAGGGUGUGAAAGCCCAGGUAGUGACCGUCUCUGAAGUGAAAGGUGUGUGUGUGAGCGUCUCUGAAGUGGAAGGUGUGUGUGUCAGGGUGUGUGAAAGCCCAGGAAGUGAGCAUCUCUGAAGUGGAAGAGGGAUAUCAAUAAUUGAAUCCAGACAGACUUCCUCUGUCUCAUUUCAUUUUCCCUUCUCUUUCUUUCUCUCGCUCUCUUGUUCCCCACUUCUCUGUCUCCCUCUAUCUUUAUCUCUCUCGCUCCCUUUCUCUCUCACAAUCUCUUUCUCUCUGUCCUCUCUCUCUCUCUCCCUUUCUCUCUCACACUCUCUUUCUUUCUGUCCUCUCUCUCUCUCCCUUUCUCUCUCACACUCUCUUUCUUUCC
ensembl:lncRNA